rnacentral:rRNA from 1 species
AAUUUUGGACAAGGUGCGCAAGCCUGAUCCAGCCAUGCCGCGUGAGUGAAGAAGGCCAGCGGGUUGUAAAGCUCUUUCGGACGGAAAGAAAUCGCACAGACUAAUACCCUGCGCGGAUUACCGUACCGCCAUAAUAAGUACCGGCUAACUACGUGCCAUCAGCCGCGGUAAUACGUAGGGUGCGAGCGUUAAUCGGAAUUACUGGGCGUAAAGCGUGCGCAGGCGGUUGAUUAAGACAGGCGUGAGAUCCCCGGGCUUAACCUGGGAACUGCGCUUGUGACUGGUCAGCUAGAGUACGGCAGAGGGGGGUGGAAUUCCACGUGUAGCAGUGAAAUGCGUAGAGAUGUGGAGGAACACCGAUGGCGAAGGCAGCCCCCUGGGCCGAUACUGACGCUCAUGCACGAAAGCGUGGGUAGCAAACAGG